CGACCGCUAUAGCAAUAUAGCCGAGGCCAGACGGACAGCCGGGUCGAAUGCCGA
rnacentral:sRNA from 1 species